GAUGAACGCUGGCGGCGUGCUUAACACAUGCAAGUCGAACGAAGCAUUUAGGACAGAUUACUUCGGUUUGAAGUUCUUUAUGACUGAGUGGCGGACGGGUGAGUAACGCGUGGGUAACCUGCCUUGUACUGGGGGAUAGCAGCUGGAAACGGCUGGUAAUACCGCAUAAGCGCACAAUGUUGCAUGACAUGGUGUGAAAAACUCCGGUGGUAUAAGAUGGACCCGCGUCUGAUUAGCUAGUUGGUGAGAUAACAGCCGACCAAGGCGACGAUCAGUAGCCGACCUGAGAGGGUGACCGGCCACAUUGGGACUGAGACACGGCCCAGACUCCUACGGGAGUCAGCAGUGGGGAAUAUUGCACAAUGGAGGAAACUCUGAUGCAGCGACGCCGCGUGAGUGAAGAAGUAAUUCGUUAUGUAAAGCUCUAUCAGCAGGGAAGAUAGUGACGGUACCUGACUAAGAAGCUCCGGCUAAAUACGUG
rnacentral:rRNA from 1 species